rnacentral:rRNA from 1 species
GACGAACGCUGGCGGCGUGCUUAACACAUGCAAGUCGAACGAGGUCCACUGCGUAGCAAUACAAGGGAAGACCUAGUGGCGAACGGGUGCGUAACACGUGAGGAACUUGUCCCGGUCUCUGGGAUAACAGUUGGAAACGACUGCUAAUACCGGAUGACGUCGGAAUCUCGCAUGGGAUACUGACGAAAGGGUUACUGGAUCGGGAGAGCCUCGCGGCCUAUCAGCUUGUUGGUGAGGUAACGGCUCACCAAGGCAUCGACGGGUAGCUGGUCUGAGAGGAUGAUCAGCCACACUGGGACUGAGACACGGCCCAGACUCCUACGGGAGGCAGCAGUGGGGAAUCUUGCGCAAUGGGCGAAAGCCUGACGCAGCAACGCCGCGUGCGGGAAGAAGGCCCUCGGGUUGUAAACCGCUUUCAGUAGGAACGAAAAUGACGGUACCUGCAGAAGAAGGUGCGGCCAACUACGU